UGUGUAUGUGUAACUGCAAGGGACAUAUCCUCUGGUUUACCACCGCUAUUGGACCACCGUGAACCACCAUAAAACCGCCACCAUCAGAACCUUCGGCUAUCACCGUGGCUCCCUCCAUUCCCGCGUCUGGACCGUCGGCACCGAGGUAGAAGACAGAUUCCACCUCUUGGGCCACCGCGUGAGAGAAGAUGAGGAUGAGGGUUUUUCACCUCUUGGGAUUAAUCCCCUUUUCUCUUCCUUGUUUUUUUAUUAAAUGGAGGGGGUGCCGUGAAACCCCUCCAAAUUAACCUCUUUCAUUUCUUUUUUUCUUUUUUAUUUUUGUUUUAUUUACUCAAGUAAAUUUAUUUAUUUAUUCUAUUACAUCAAUUAAUU
rnacentral:lncRNA from 1 species